rnacentral:rRNA from 1 species
ACGGAGCAAUACCGCGUGAGGGAGGAAGGCUCUUGGGUUGUAAACCUCUUUUCUCUGGGAAGAACACAAUGACGGUACCAGAGGAAUCAGCAUCGGCUAACUCCGUGCCAGCAGCCGCGGUAAUACGGAGGAUGCAAGCGUUAUCCGGAAUUAUUGGGCGUAAAGCGUCCGCAGAUGGUUUUGAAAGUCUAUUGUCAAAGCGCGGAGCUCAACUUCGUACAGGCAGUGGAAACUACAUGACUAGAGUUCGGUAGGGGUAAGGGGAAUUCCCAGUGUAGCGGUGAAAUGCGUAGAUAUUGGGAAGAACACCAGCGGCGAAAGCGCCUUACUGGGCCUGAACUGACAUUCAUGGACGAAAGCUAGGGGAGCG